rnacentral:rRNA from 1 species
GAUGAACGCUAGCGAUAGGCCUAACACAUGCAAGUCGAGGGGCAUCACAUGAAGUAGCAAUACGGAUGGUGGCGACCGGCGCACGGGUGAGUAACACGUAUGCAACCUGCCUUCAACAAGGGGAUAACCCGUUGAAAGACGGACUAAUACCCUAUAACACAGGGGUCCCGCAUGGGAAUAUUUGUUAAAGGACAACCGGUUGAAGAUGGGCAUGCGUUCCAUUAGCUAGUUGGCGGGGUAACGGCCCACCAAGGCAACGAUGGAUAGGGGAACUGAGAGGUUUAUCCCCCACACUGGUACUGAGGGACACGGACCAGACUCCUACGGGAGGCAGCAGUGAGGAAUAUUGGUCAAUGGACGCAAGUCUGAACCAGCCACGUCGCGUGAAGGAAGACGGCCCUACGGGUUGUAAACUUCUUUUAUACGGGAAUAAAGUGCCCCACGCGUGGGGUUUUGCAUGUACCGUAUGAAUAAGGAUCGGCUAACU